rnacentral:misc_RNA from 1 species
GAUGAAGAACGUAGCGAAAUGCGAUACUUGGUGUGAAUUGCAGAAUCCCAUGAACCAUCGAGUUUUUGAACGCAAGUUGCGCCCGAAGCCACUAGGCCGAGGGCACGCCUGCCUGGGCGUCACACGCCGUUGCCCCCCCAUCUACUCCUUCGGGAUUGCGGGGGGGCGGAUGAUGGCCUCCCGUGCGCCUAGCCGCGCGGUUGGCAUAAAUACCAAGUCCUCGGCGACGCACGCCACGACACUCGGUGGUUGCGAAACCUCGGUUGCCCGUCGUGUGCGUUCGUCGCGCAUCGAGGGCUCGAAAAAAUGCUCGGCUCCGGCUGGGCUUUCAACGCGACCCCAGGUCAGGCGGGGUUACCCGCUGAAUUUAAGCAUAUCAAUAAGCGGAGGA